rnacentral:piRNA from 1 species
UGCCAUUCUUCAGGUGUUGCUAUUUCAGAG